UAAAGGUUAGUGGAACCUGCCAAACACGUAUAAAUUUGAAUUAUAAAAAGGAAUUAAUCAUUCCACCUUUAA
rnacentral:tRNA from 1 species